rnacentral:lncRNA from 1 species
UUCUCUUCAGUCUACAAGGUUAAACUGAUCAGUGUAAAGAAGUGUCACUACGAUCAGUACGAGAUGAAGAUCGUCCAGAUUAUACAAAACGACUUUUGCAGGUGCUUGUCAUACGGCUGCCGCUGAUCUCACACACCAGCUGCUUACUGACCCAUCCAUCAACACAGAGUCCUGUUUACCCAAAUACCUUCAUCACUGUCACUCAGAGGAAGAGGGAAGGGGAAGGAGAGAGGAAGAUGUGGGCCACUCAGCAGUGCUCGGCACAUCUGCUCAAUGAUAAACAGAACAAUGCCACGACGACCACUAAUCUUACACACAAGAUCAAGGACACGGGAAAAAAUACAACGGCAGACAGAGAGCAGGGGGAAGCAAUGAAAGAAAGAGCCUUUGUUUUAGCAUAUAAAGAAGAAGAAAAGCAUAGGAGAUAAGGAAUCAAAAUGGAAAACAGGAAAGCACUUAGCUAUUUCCAAGUGCUUCGGCUUUAUCUAUAAAACUUCUCAUAGAUUAGCCUGAUGUAUAAUCUAUUGUCUGUCUCCUCCCCAAAAUAACCAUAUAUGGAGCUUACAACGCCUAGUUUUAAUAUGCAUAACCACGUCUGCAUAUCAAUUCCAAAUGGAUAUUCCCAACCAUGUCAUUUAUAGGUUACAAUUCAAUACAGCCUAUAGAAAUUAAUGUGUCUACACAAUUUUCUGGAUGGGAAUAUGCACAUGGAAAUAAUUUGCAGAUGAGGUUAUUCAUUAUAGAAGUAGGCAUUGUAAGCUCCAUAUAUGGUUAUUUUGGUGAGGAAACGGGGUAGGAAUUCAAGUACGAGCAAUUUUUUGUCUAAAACUACUUAGAAGGAAAUGUGACUCUCAAAUUUAGCAAGUGUAAUGAGUGAUUUAAGGGUGUUCUAGAUGGUUUCCCUGGUAUUGACGCCUACCUUCGUUGCCAAUUUCUUGUCUAAAACUAUUUUGAGGGUCUGUCCAUAUAAACUUUUCUUGUCCAUUUGAUGAAGUGGAACGCACUCCAAAAUGGCGGCAGGGAUUCCCUGAUGGGAAGUGAUUGAGGACAUUUGCGAGAGCGUGUCUUAAAGUGAAGUGGAACGCACUCAUGAUGGUUUCUAUUACACCUAGUGGUGUCAUUCACGGCUGCGCACAAACAAUGAGAGAUGAGAUAUGCAGCGAAAUUGAAUACUUUGGGUAAAGCCCAGAGUAUACUUCAGUUUUUACAUGUAUGCUAACAUAGCUGUACAGUAUGUGUGACAUAAUUAAAUUUUGUUAUCAGCAUUGUCCCGCACAGCCCGAUUUUUUAGAACCGUGCAUACUUUAUAUGCUUUAUUUUUUGCAAUAAUUAGUUUAUCCACAAGGCGGCUGGACCAUUUUACAGUGGAUAAUAAAGCUGAAGAAAUGGAACAACAUUAACAAAUUACUGGAGACGCAACAACAACAGACGCCCAUGUUGUUGAGCGCUUGUGUGAGUGGACUAAGAGAUCCUCUAGAAAUCAAGAUUAAAAUACCUUUUUAAUUCUUAUAACUUUGGGAGAGAAAUA